CCUAGGGCAGAACUAAUCUUCCUGAAUUUCCUUAGCAGAGAAAGAGCCAAAUUUGCAGGGGAGAGAUGUUCCCUGAGAAGUGCAGAGGCAGGAGUGUGUUGCAGAGGAAGAGCCAAUGAAUCUCUGGAGCAAACUCCAUGAUGAGGAGCCUGUUGAAGGCUGGAGGGUCAGCUGAUGUGCUUUCAAAAGAGACCCACAGGUUCCUGGAGACCCAGACAAACUCAGACACACAACCCGGUGAAGAAGGGAAAGACAUUCAGCACCAAAGGACCUCAGCUCUGGACCUGACCCAGGAACACCUCACCUGAAGGCUCUGCACAGCAAGAUAGCCCACUUUCGACCUUGUCCAGGCAAAGAAGGCUUAUGGGAACUCAAUGACAGACCCUGUUAUCCUCUGCUGAAUCAGUUCCCUGAACUGAAUCACAGACUGAUUUCACAACUAGAUGGGACAGCACAGGAAGGACUGUGGUGCAUGGAAGAAACAGCGUGGAGGGAGUCCUGGAUUAUUGGAAACCACAAUUGCCUCAAAAGUCACCGUAACAUGACUCCGCAGAUAAGGUUAGUCAUAGCCUGCAAUGUGCAGCUGAUGACUGACCCCAUGGGAGAAUCGCUUCCCAGCAGCAUUGUGCAAGGGGCUGAUACUCUGUCUUCCUAAAUCCUGGAGGGCUGAAGCUUAUUUGUACAACAAACAAGGCCCGGUUGGAGUUUACCAUGCAGAAUUGUCUCCCUCUAAUAUAAUUCAGCUGUGUAUGUAUUUCAUUGCAAAGAAAAUAUAGCUAUGACUUCCACUAGGUUCCUUCAUCAGUAGCCAUUACAUUGGUGCUAAAUGUUCGUUUGACUUAUACAUGUUAAAAGAAGUGCAUUGGGCAGGAUUCUGAAUAAAUGCAAAUCAGAGGUGAAUCAUCUAAAAUAUUUGGAGUCACAGGCAGAAGUGGGAUCUGAGUCAAGCCACUUGUCCUAGUUUCUGUCACACAAACACUAACUCUUUAUAAAUCAUUAAUUUCCAGACUGUUUAUUAUCCAGGGGAAGUAACAAAACAGUAGUAUCACAUAACACAUCCUAAGAAUGCCUUGUUCAUUUUAAGAGCAAAUAAAACUAAAUAGCACCAAGUUGUUAGUGAUGCAGCCUACGAGACCAAGCAGAAACACAAAAAAGGGACCUUAAUCAGGCUGAGGCCACAAAAUAAACAGGGGAAUGGGUAAAAAAAGAAAAAAAAAAAAAAAGGUUGGACAGAGUGUCUUCACAUGGACUAUCUUCACAUAGGUAUUCUUUGUUUACUGUCACAUGGAAAUUGCCUCUGCUCAUUACAUGGUGGGGCUUUCAGCAGGGACACCGCAGCAGUGCUAUUAGAGCUUGAAUGGUUUCCACAGCUGCUGCUGCCCUUCUCACAGGAAUAAUUUAACACCUAUCCAC